GAACGGGACACUCCUUUCUGCCUCUUCCUUUUCAAGUUGUCCGCGAGGAGACGAAGUGGAGCCAGUACAGAACUUCGAGUCAACCUGCAGUAGAAGCUCCACCUGCCACUCCAACCAUGGAUGUCUGUCAGAAACACAGGUUUUGGCUACAGUUGAAGAUGGAAGGGCGAAACAUGAAGAUGAACAGAUCACAUGCAGGUGAUCCUCAUGGCUGAACCAAACGUGACUGGAUGAGGUCAUCUUGUAUCAAGGCAUCAAUCUGUCCACGAGCGUCUGUCUGAUCUCCUUGGAUUGCAUGGGAUCAUCACUGUCCUGUUUGAAGGUCCAGUGGCGUGUUGUCUGGACAAAUGCCGUUGGGAAUCAAAGUGUCUGGAUUCACCACAGCGCACUGUCGACAAGGAAGUAACAGCGAUGGGGCCAACAUUUGUUCACUAGACCAAAGUGUCUAGUAGGAACAUGACUGAUGGUGUGGCACUAACUGCACCAUUACAAAGGUGUUAGACUUAAUACAGUUUUGAAAACCUAAGUGAGUCAAACUGUUCACUGUCAUUGAAAUAAAACGCACAAAAUGA